rnacentral:lncRNA from 1 species
AAGAAAAAUCAAUGCGAUAAAAUGAACAAUGAAAUAUCUGAUGCUGAUUUUUUAUGCAUGAAUAUGAAUGUAUGUGAUUAUGAUUAUGCUGGCGAAAUAACAAGAAGAUUGGAAUCAUCAUUAAAACACUCAGUUAAUCUCAACAAGAUGGAAACACCAACUGGAGAAUCUCCUAGGGAUGAAAAUAAAUCAUCUAGCUCAGUAUAAGUCAACUUUGGAAGGGGAGAGUCAUGCUUUCAACGAACUCAGGGCGAACUUCGCAGGGGAAGAGAGCAUUGCUG